rnacentral:rRNA from 1 species
UACAGAGGUCCCAAGCGUUGUUCGGAUUCACUGGGCGUAAAGGGUGCGUAGGUGGUGAGGUAAGUCGGAUGUGAAAGCUCGGAGCUCAACUCCGAAAUGGCAUUGGAAACUACCUUGCUCGAGGGUUGGAGGGGGGACUGGAAUGCUUGGUGUAGCAGUGAAAUGCGUAGAUAUCAAGCGGAACACCAGUGGCGAAGGCGAGUCCCUGGACAAUUCCUGACACUGAGGCACGAAAGCUAGGGGAGCAAACAGG